GAUGAAGAACGUAGCGAAAUGCGAUAAGUAAUGUGAAUUGCAGAAUUCAGUGAAUCAUCGAAUCUUUGAACGCACAUUGCGCCCUCUGGUAUUCCGGGGGGCAUGCCUGUUCGAGCGUCAUUAUAACCACUCAAGCUCUCGCUUGGUAUUGGGGUUCGCGGUUUCGCGGCCCCUAAAAUCAGUGGCGGUGCCUGUCGGCUCUACGCGUAGUAAUACUUCACGCGAUUGAGUUCGAUAGGUCUACUUGCCAGUAACCCCCAAUUUUUACAGGUUGACCUCGGAUCAGGUAGGGAUACCCGCUGAACUUAAGCAUAUCAAUAAGCGGAGGA
rnacentral:misc_RNA from 1 species